rnacentral:rRNA from 1 species
UACGAAGGGGGCUAGCGUUGCUCGGAAUCACUGGGCGUAAAGGGUGCGUAGGCGGGUCUUUUAAGUCAGGGGUGAAAUCCUGGAGCUCAACUCCAGAACUGCCUUUGAUACUGAGGAUCUUGAGUCCGGGAGAGGUGAGUGGAACUGCGAGUGUAGAGGUGAAAUUCGUAGAUAUUCGCAAGAACACCAGUGGCGAAGGCGGCUCACUGGCCCGGUACUGACGCUGAGGCACGAAAGCGUGGGGAGCGAACAGG